GACGAACGCUGGCGGCGUGCUUAACACAUGCAAGUCGAACGAUGAAGCCGGAGCUUGCUCUGGUGAAUUAGUGGCGAACGGGUGAGUAACACGUGAGUAACCUGCCCUUGACUCUGGGAUAACUGCUAGAAAUGGUAGCUAAUGCCGGAUACGACCCUCGGAGGCAUCUCCAGGGGGUGGAAAGAAUUUCGGUCAAGGAUGGACUCGCGGCCUAUCAGCUAGUUGGUGAGGUAACGGCUCACCAAGGCGACGACGGGUAGCCGGCCUGAGAGGGUGACCGGCCACACUGGGACUGAGACACGGCCCAGACUCCUACGGGAGGCAGCAGUGGGGAAUAUUGCACGAUGGGCGCAAGCCUGAUGCAGCAACGCCGCGUGAGGGAUGACGGCCUUCGGGUUGUAAACCUCUUUUAGUAGGGAAGAAGCGAAAGUGACGGUACCUGCAGAAAAAGCACCGGCUAACUACGUGCCAGCCGCCGCAGUAA
rnacentral:rRNA from 1 species